UGUUACUCCAUUUUUUUCAGUAAGAACAAAAUAUAUAGAAAAUGUUUCCUACCUCUUUAUAAAAAUUGUCUUAUUGUGGAUUGAAUGUGGUAGGGCACAGACUAAGCAAUACUUUGUGGAAACAGUUCAUGCUUAAGUUCUCUACGAGUUAUGUUCUGAGAACAAAGUACUUUUUAAGGUAUGAAUUUUCGUUUAGUGAAAUGCUACUAAGAAUUGACUUGUGAUUCUGACUAGACUUCUAUCACUUUAAGCAAUAAGAUAUUUAGCCUAAAAAGGAAAGGUUAUAAUCCACACAUUUUGACUUCUUUUGUGUCUAGUGUUCUCACAAUGCAAUUUGGCUGAUCAAUUUUAUAGGAGUAUGAACAAAAUUUAGGGGAAACAUGGGCCAAAAAGAUUAACUGUUCACCUUUCCUGUUUGUAUUUUUCUGCUACUUAUAAAAAAGGUCAAAUCUGACUACUCACAAAAGGGGAGGGGUGUGUGGGUAUGUGUGUGUGUGUGUGUGUAAACAGGUGAUGGGGAUUAAAGAGCACUCUUAUGACGAACACUUAAUAGUGUACAGAACUGCUGAAUCACAAUAUUGUACGCUUGAAACUAACAUAACACAGUAUGUUAACUAUACUGGAAUUAAAACAAAAAGCUUAAGAAAAAACUACUCACAGGAAUAGUGAAAAUAUGUUUACAACUUAAAUUAGAAGGAGUGAUUUCUAUAUUAGAAAACAACUUUUUAUUUCUUUUGAUUUACUAUAGAAUUUAUCUCACUGUUCUCUUCAUAUUGAGAUUUCUAAAUGCUUUACGAAUAUUAUCAAUAACAAAAACUACAACUUUCCAGGACUUUAUUUUGAAUUAUUGCCGUAUACUGACUCAUGUAUGGUCUCCCUUCCAAGUUGCCUUUCCCGUAAAUUGAUUUUCCACAAAAUAUCACAAAGAUUCUUCAGUUAGGUUUUCUUUAAGCAAUAUUUUACUGUCUUACGUUCUGAGGUCAUUCAUUUCUUCACCUUCCCAAGAGGCCACGCCACAGGACAGAGUGCAAAACUGCCCUCCAAAAAUAUAGUACUAUUCACUAUCCCCAGUACAGUUCUUAAGGAUUCAAUAUUCUCAGGAGAAAGGAAGCUUUUUUUUUUUUGGCAGAAAAGCCAUCUAGAAACAGAACCGAUUCUCAUUCCAGAAAAUUACACAAAAUCUGAAAUCCAGCUCGGCUGCUGGAUUUAUUUUUUUCGUUUCUCAUUGACGGGUUUCCCACAAGGAUUUGAAGGUAGGAUAAGGUGAUUCAUUUAGCUUAAUGCCGCCCUUGCUUUCCAAAAAGAACAGACCAUUCUGAGAGGUCGUUUAAAGAAGGUUAAAAGGGCCUUAGAUUUUAACGAAACCACAUCCAUUUUUACAGAUGUGUACCGGGGCCCGUGCCUCGCUCAAUGUCACAUGGUUCAAGAAACAGGGCAGAGUUCAAGUACGGCUCUGUCAGUGAAGUCACUGCCCAUUAUUUAACGAUUUCCACGUCCUUGGGCAUUCGAGGUGGCCAUUUAACCAGUCAAGCAACACGUACGCACUCUCUCUCCAAACGCUUAAAUGCCUUGAGAUAGUUUCUUUUCUUGUUAUUACUGUGAGAUUCCUUCUUUUAACGUGAAUCUACAGUUGAAGCAGCAUUUUGUUUUCCCCACCUCAAAGACUUGACUGGAAAACCAGCAGCAGCCGAGAGGCUGCGCCCCCGGCCCCCAUCGGGAAGCUCCCGCGCCAGCACCCGCACCGCACCCCGAAACUGCGCCAAACAACCCAGCAUGGCCAGGCCGACAGCGCUGAGAUCAAAAAGCACUGAGAACUGGCCACCCAACCCAGAGCGGGCACCGGGGACGACUAACUUGCCGUUGCUGUUACUAACCAAAGGUAACCAGAAUAGAGGAAAGCAGGAUACUGCUGCAAGACCGGGAAAACCCCACGCUCACUCUUCCCGGUGUCGGAAAGAGCCUUCCUGACUUCCGGCGGAGGGUCGCUGUCCUCGCACGGUUUUAUGGGAAAUGUAGUUUGAGGAUCACAAAUUGUGCGUGAUCAGUGAAGGGGAGGGACUUGGGGGUGAACGCGUUCGGGAGCCUGGGCGGGGAGGUCACUGCUGUUAAGGUCCAGCUUCUUGGUGGUGAGUCAGGGGCUGGUUUUCCUUUUCCGUCAUACCGAGACAUGUGAAGUGUGGUGCGGACGAUGGAAAACCUUAGGAGCUGAGAGAAGUUUGCUGAAGUAUGCCGGCUACAAACUUUCCUGUGGUUAUUUCAAUGUUUAGCUACUGUGUAUGUCUUCCUUACUCAAAGUGUGACUCAGUAUGAACCAUGGAUGCUGGUGAAAAAUGCAGAAUUCCAGACUCAUCUCUGACCUACUGAAUCAGAAUCUACAAUUUAAUGAGAUCCUCAGGUAAUUUAUGUGCACAUUACAGUUUGAGAACAUGGCUUUGGGUAAUUGUCUCAUAGUAAGGUGGGUUGCCUCUUAAAAACUUGUGUUCAUUUUUUAGAUGCAAAUUAGUAGUGUUUUUGUUGGCUAAAUUCAAGCAUGACUGACUCUACAGAGGUUCUUCUAGACCACCAGACUUCCUGCAUUGUAGCAACGAAGAAAAAUACUCUCUGAGAGUAGAGCCAGACUCCAACACGACUUGCUUCUGAGCCCUUGUUGACACAUUUUUCUUUUUGUUCAGUGGCGGUGCUCUUUCCUCUUUCUUUACCAUUUGCCUAUCAAAAUUUAAUGUCUGGUUCUAGGUUAUAGUUGCCUUUAUCUAGACUUCAGGAAUUGCCUCAGUGGAAUUUUUUUUAUACCUUUGCUGGAAUAGUCUCAGUUCUUUAGAAUUUUUCUAGAAUUCUGACCGUGGUUAUAGAUGCUAGACUUUGAAACAUUUGAAUACUUGCCUUCUGUAGUGGUUAAUUUUAUGUGUCAUCUUGACUGGGCUAAAGAUUGCCCAGAUAGCUGGUAAAAUAUUAUUUCUGAGGGUGUCUGUGAGGGUGUUCGUGGAAGAGAUUAGCAUUUGAAUCAGUACACUGAGUAAAGCAGUUUGCUCUCCCUAGUGUGGGUGGGUAUUUAUUAUCUAAUCCAUUGAGGGCCUAAAUAGAACAAAAAGGCAGAGGAAAAGUGGAUUCACUUUCUCUCUUUGAGCUGAGACAUCCAUCUUCUCCUGCCCUUGGAUAUUGGACAUCAGCUCCUAGUUCUUGGGCUUUGAGACUCAGACUAUGAGCUCCCCCACCCUCCCUCCAAGGUGGGUCAGUCCUUAGAUUGAUUGCCUGCCUAUGAUUCCUGCUUCCCUCAUUUAACCUUCUGGUCUCAGGCAUACAGCCUCUGCUAGAUACACUAUGCUAGAUUAUAAAAUUCAUUUUGCUUUCUCUUCAGUUUUCAAAUAGCUCUUAGAACAUUGAAGUAGCAUAUGCUUCAUUUUAGUUUUGACAUAGAGUUGCAAAGAUGUAUCGUUUUUAUGAUGGCAGGCUUUUUUUUUUUUUUGCUAAGGAUUAAAAUAUAUGGCUAUGGCUUAUGGAUACUAAAUAUUUAUCUAUUUAUCUAUAUAUAAUUUUUUCCAGUGAAGAAUAAGGCCCUGUCCUGUUGCUAUGUGGUAUAAGGAUAAAUUAUAAAAGACAUGGUCUAGGGCACCUAGUGCACAUUAACUGUAAUACAGGUAAGCCAGUAUAUAAGUGCUGGAAGUGACAAAAAUGUCAUCAGGUACUCAGAGUAGGAAGAAAUCACUGCCUGAUGUUCAGGAAAAAGCUCAGAGAGGAGGCAGUGUUAAGAAUAGAACCAAAAUGGGAUAGAGAAAUGGUAUUCCCAGACCAGGGCAUAACAAGACACAGAUGCUAAAAGAGAUUUAUAGAAGAUGGACCCAGAACCAUAAUGGACAUUUAGGUAAGCUGAACAUAUGUGAAGGCAAACGGUGGGAGACAGAGGGAUCUGAACACAAUGUGCUAAGCAUGUGAACUGGACCUCUGGAAGGAACAUAAUUGUUUGUGACAAAAAAGGGAGAAAAAUAAUGCUGUAGGGAGAAAAGACACAAAGUACAGCAACUUUGUGCCUGAAUACCUGGCUAUGAAAGGCUGGCCAUGGAAGGGUCACGCUUAGCAAUGAAGAAAUGUAUAUGAAGUCUUUCCUUGUCAGUCUAAACAAGAUUUCUCAUCCAGAGGGAAAAAUGAUAUAUUAUAAAUGAAUGGCACCAUCAAGUGAUGGGGUAGCCACAUUUGGAAUAAUGGAAGACCUGGAUAGACAGAAUAAUACAUGGGUCGUAUGUUUGGCCAAAUGGAUUUAAUAGAUUGAGAAUCCAGCAAACCCAUUUAUCAAACUUUGCAGCUCAGGACGAUGACUUGAGUAAAGUGGUUCUCAUGUAUCGGAAGAAAACAGGUGAGCUAGGGGUAAAUGGAGAAUAGUGUAGUGGAAAAAACAUUGUAAGACAAAGACUACAGUACAAAUUUUGCCUUAAUUCACUGUGUGACUUUUGGCAAGUCACUUAAACUCCCUGGGCUUCAGUGUCCUCAUGUGUAAAAUGAGGACAGUCUCUAUUCUUGACCAAUGUGGAGACUUUUUGCCUAAUUUUCUAGUUCUUUUGAAGAUCACAGUGAAACAACAAAUUCCAUUGGGAGACUAUGCCACUCAGUAUGAUGAGGUGGUCAAUUUGUACUCAUUUUCUGAAUAUCAAGAUAAUAAACAAUUUUGUCGGAUCUACUUUCCAGAUUAUUGAUUCACAUGGAACCAUUGUGGGACACUAGGGGCAUAGUGGUAGAACUGAGGUGCUUGAGAAGUACCAGUGGACCCAAGACCCAUAUUCACUGCCUUACUGAACAUUGGACCUGCUGGAGGAAUCAGAGGAGGGCGGGAGUUAGAAGCUAUUACUUGGGGACAUCCUAAGGUCGCUCUCUAGAAUAGGGUGUGAUAUUGGGCCUUCAACAAAAAUAUCCACUCUUAGCUUACAGUAAGUUCUUGCAACCAUUUGUGAUUGAGACUUUUGCUCCCAAGUGUGAUAUAGUCAGUUUAUGCACUAAAGGGAAUAUUUGCCAGUCAGGUAAUAUAUCUCAUUGUAAUAUUAAAAAAAAAAAAAAAACUCUGGUGGCUGUAGUCCCUGCUCAUUAUAGUUUUCUGCACAGUCUACUCUAGAAAGAAAACUGCAAAAAUAGAAAAAGGUGUAUUUUCAGAAAAUUAUUCACAAUUAAUGCCAAGUGAGUCAAAUUCCAAAGUGUUUAAAUGUCAAGGGAAAGACAAUGCUAACUUGACCUCCUUCAAUUUUCAUAUGGAGGCUUGUGAAGUUUGGGUAGGAUAAAGAGAAAAGCACCUUUUAUUCCCAAAAGCUUUUUAAACCUGCCUUUAGUAGGCACUGUGUGUCUUCUUUUUGUAAUCUCGGGUUUUAUAGUCUCCUUUAUCAAUUGUGAGAGGUGUGGAAGGGCUAGUUUAUAUCUUUCAGAAGGGACACCUGGGUCAACAGGUUGAAAGAACUUUGAAAGUUAUUUGUAUCUUUGCCAGUCCCUGCAUUGUGUGAGAAUCACUGUAGCUAGUGUGUAAACUACCUUUGAAUAAGAGACAGAAAAUGGAAUUUAUCAGGGGACAAUGCCUUUUGUUUAGAAGGAGCAACAAAAGAUGAAUAAAAGACCACAGCCAGUCUUCUGUGUUUAGUGUCCCAUUUUUCCAGAUAAAAAAGGGGAUAAUAUUCAAUCUUGAUUGUGCACAGAGGCCUUUGGUACUUUAAGGAGAUGGAGGAAGAAGGGAAAUGAAAAAGAAAUAAAGCGACCAAUAUGUUCUUGAACUGUGACUUCUGGCAGCUGCAUUUAAAAAACAACCAUUACAUUUUGUGGGUAUAUCUGUGAGGCUUAUCCAUUAUGUGUGCAAACACAAUCUGAUUAGUAUUUGUUAUAAGCUCGUCUUGUCUGCUUUUAUUACAGACAUCACCUUCAGAUGUGGGGCCACUGCAGCUAUUAAAUCAGGAAUAUUUAGCUAUUAUUUGUAAUAAAUGUCAGCAGGGCUGAACUGAAGCCAGCAGGAAAUGUUCAGGGCAGAAAACACACUGACAUUCAUUCAUGCAAAUUUGUACCACUGGUAGAAUUAAUCAUAAAGAGGGAGGGUAGAGCAUACAAUGCAUUUAUAUUACUGGUUUGGCCAAUUCUCCUUCUUCCUGAAUAUGAGAGUUAUAAUGAACAGAAAGCAAUCUGCUGACAAAUAGUCCCAUGUGAAGUGCAGGCAGUGAGAUUAACUUUCCAAAGCGGACAUGUCUGGCUUUAUAGUGGACCACCCCUCCUUCCCUCCACACCACCCCAGCCCUCUGAGGCAGUUUUGCGGUGUCCUUUUUUCUCUUUAAAAGACUUCUAGAUUUAGCAUGCACAUAACUAUUACCUCUUGAAAUCACAGGGAUGCUCUAAAGAACAUUCUGUGCAUAGUGCUGAGUAUUGGGCCAGCCUUACCCUGUUACAAAGCACCCAGGGUGCUUAUGUCACACUGGGAAGGUAUAGUGAUAGGAACUGGGUUGUUGACUAUGAAGAAAUUGUGGUUUGCCAAAAGGAAGAGAAUUUAAUUUUUUUUUGAAAAGCUGCAUCUGUGCAAAGUGAAUUGCAAUAACCCAUAUAACGGAUUAAUGCAGUAUCCUCUGAGAAGAUUGCAGUCACCAUCAGCAACACAGCCACAGCUUGCCCUGAACAUCAACUAUCAUUUAAUUUGUAGGAGUGAGUAAAGUUAACACCAGAAAAGAGUUAGUGCAUUUAUUUUUAAAAAAAGGUGAGAAAAAUACAAGCCAAAAGCAUACUUUAAAAUGUUUCUCAUUUUCUCACAGCCUGAAAUUAUUAUUCACCGGGAAACAAAAACUUCUUGAAAGAGCUGACAUAAAAAUUAUAGGUGACUUCAAAGAUAUUAAUUAUUCUUAGUUGUUUUAGUCCUAUGAUUGGAACAGAAAAUACGGAGAACAUGAGAUUAAACUAUGCUUGAUAAAGUAAACACAAAAAUUCUUUUAAAAAUUAUAUACUAAUAUUGGUCAAAAUUAAGGAAAAGUCUUCUAAAAUGUUUCAUGUAUCAUAGAAGUCAGUUCAAAGUAGUGCUUUGCUAAAACAUGUCAUUUUCUCCCUACUACAUUGUAUUGUGCCCAUAUUUACAGAAUGCAUAUUGUAAACUGAAUACUUCUUUCCUUAAUUUUAAUCCCUGAUGUGAUUAUAUUGCUUGCAUUUUUUUUUUUUUUUGUCUCAGUAUAGGUUUUAGAAGAGAACUCGUACAAAAUGAAAUGGAAAGGGACAUUACUGUUGAUUAAGUGAAGGUCAUAAUAGGUAUAGUAACUGAAUUGAAUGACUUAUACUAUAAUUAGUGGCAUUGGUAGUGACAUCAAGGUGAGGGAUGGAAUGUGUUUUCACCUGUGGGAUUUCUGCAGUACCAAUGGAGAAGACCAGAAAAGCUGAUGUGGCAUUGUGACUUCAUGACUUUUCAAAGCUGAGCUAUUCUUUUUAAUAAUGCCCUUAUGGUACAAUUAUUGAUUCAAUGUCUUAUUCUCCAGAGGAAUUUUAGGAAUUAUGGGAACAUAUUUAUUAAAAAUAAAUGGAGAAGAGAUGUAUAAAUCAUUGGCAACAGCUGACAUCUACCUACAGGGAAGGUCAUUAUAAGCUGGUAUUUAUAUUACAGAUACACAGACUAUUAGACCUUAUAUAGUUUCUAAAGCUGAGUCAAAAUUUUGGCUUUGGGUUUCCUGGUGGCCAAAGAGAAAGAGCAAUGUAAGCCUUAACAUAAUUAAAAUUGUUAAAAGAAGAAAAAGUGUUAGUAAUAUGAGGCAGGCAGACUCUAUGGUGGCUCCCAAGAUUUUUGUCUUCUGGUAUUAAAAUCCUAUGUAAACCCUUCCCUUUGAGUUUGGGGAAGAUCCAUGACUUCUAACUAGUAGAGUAUGGCAAAGGUAACAGGACAUGCAUGAAUACAUGUGAGUGAUUAUAUUACAUAAGGUUUUACCACCCAUCUUGCUACGAUUUUCAAAUUCUCCCUUGCUGCCUGUAAAGAAGCAAGAUGGCAUAUUAUGAGCCACCAUAUGGAAAAACCCAAUGGCACAGGGAAGGUAAUCUCCAGCAAACAGCCAGCAAGGAACAAAAGCCCUGAUUCUGGCAGCAAAAGGAACUGAAUGCUGCCAGUAAUCACAUGAGUGGAUAAUUUCCCAUUUGAGCCUCAGAUGAGACUACAGUCUUUGCUGACACCUAUAUUGAAACCUUAUAUGACUCUGAAACACAAAACCCAACUAAGUCAUUCUUGAGCUCCUGACCCACUGAAAUUGUGAGGUAGUGUGUCUUGUUUGUGCAGCAAUAUAUAACUUAUGCAUAAAUAUGAGGAGAAAUAUUCAGUUCCUUUGCUGUUUGGGUCCUAAAACUAUCUUUAUGUUUAAUUUAUCUUUGGGACCCAAGGAUUUUUUUUCCUUCUCCCCCAUCACAUUGCCUGCAUACUUCUUCCUCUUAGAAAUUGGUUCCCUUUUCUCUCUAAAGACAUAACUUCCGAUUCCAUCCUUUCUCCUUUUCCAUCUUGAGACAGUUUUUUUCUACAUCCCUAAAAAAAUGAAUGUCCAGGGGCACCUGGGUGGCUCAGUUGGUAGAGCAUGCUACUCUUGAUCUCGGGAUUGUGUUUGAGCCCCACAUUGGGUGUAGAGAUUACUUAAAAAUAAAACAUUUUAAAAAUCUAUCUUAGAGAGAUAUCUAGAGAGACUACUUGCUGCUUUCUCUUCCUCUGUAAAAUAUUUUGAUGCCACUUUGAAAAAUAAACAUAGAACAACUUUCAUAAUAAAAGUAUUACAAAGACUUUUGUAAAGGUGAUAAAAUAAUAGGACACCCAUUUAUUAGGUGUCAGGCUCUGUUCUAAGUGCAUACAUGUUAAUUCAUUUUACAUUAAUAAAAACCAUUUUAAAAUGAAAAACUUGAAACUCAGAGAGGAUAAAGAAUUUUCUUAAGGUCACACAUUUGUUAAGUUUAAACUGGAAUCUGAUUCCAAACAAUUUGGUUUCAGAAUGUGUGUUUUAACUAGUGUGCUAUCCUCCCUCUUAAAGUAUCAUAGUAGGGAAGACAGCUGUUAGAGGGUGUGUGAUUGGAUAUAAAGCUGAGUCUAAGUUUCUUGGUGGUGCUUUCAAAAGAUGAAAUAUGCUAAGUCAUUUAAUUUUCAUUGUGUAAGAAUACAUUUGUGAAAUGGACAAUGAAUCAACCUCCAUAAAAUAAAAGGAGAUUCUAAGAGUUGUUUUGGCUUGCCUUUUGGGCAUGUAGCCCAAAUCACCUCAUCAGGAGGCUCAUUUCAGUGGCAAUUUUGAUUACUCUGAACUUUAUUUAAGAGGGCAGCAUUUUCUUUUUCCUUGAUUAUUCUCUCUGAAGCUUCAGGUUUAAUUAAACAGGACCAACUGAUGUGUCUUUCAGAAUAAAUCACCUUCAGUCUCUAGUAGCCAUUCCUCCAUCUCUAUCUUUACUUCCUUAAUUGUUGAAGUUUUGUAUAGUGUGAUGGUUCAUUUUCUCUGUCACCUUGGCUGGGCUAAGUACGCAGACAUGUGGUCAAACAUUAUUCUGCGUAUUUGUAAGUGUGUUUUUGGAUGAGAUUAAUAUUUCAAUCUAUGGGCUCUGAGGAAAGCAGAUUGACCUCCCUAAUGUGGGUGGGCCUUACCCAAUCAACUGAAGCCUUGACUCCAACAAAAGACUUACCUCACCCCAGCAGGAGGGAAUUCUGCCAGCAGAUAGCCUUUGGACUUGAACUGAAACAUGAGUUCUUCCUAUAUUCCUGGCUUGCUGCCCCACUCCACAGAUUUUGGAAUUGCCAGCCUCCAUAAUCAUAUGAACCAAUUCCUUAAAUAAAUCUUUCUACUUAUGUAUACACUCAUCCUAAUCGUUCUGUUUCUCUGGAGAACCUUAAUGUAGUAGCCAUGUGGCCUCCUUUCAGCUAUAGGAGGUAAAACUGAGAUGUUAGAGGAAUUCUGGGGAUAUUUUAGAAAAUGUAUCCUCAGUAAUAAAGAGAUACAAAAGAGGAGACCCUCUCUUUUUUCACUUCGGACUUUAUUGGCUGGUGGGAUACCAAGACCAAUACCCAUCAGUGUGGGACGAGAGAAGGUAGCCAGAGAAAAUGAGAUGAUAUGCCCAGGAUGGCAAAGCAGGAUGCCGAGAGAUUGUUGUUGCUUGAGAUGUCAUUGAACUGAUGAACUAGCCAACAUAAGAACCGAGUUCAGAACUUCUUUGCAGGAUAGUAAAUGCCUAUAUUGUUUAAUGAAUUCUAGUUGGGUAUUUAUUUUAUUUGCUGCUGAAAAUACACUAAUGGAUAUUUUUAACCACAGUACAUGUCUCUAGAGAGUUGAACAAAUAGAUGUGGUAUGCGAAAUUAUUAGAUAUUGAUGACCAAAUCAUGUUACAACCUGAUAAGAAUAUAGGGUUUAGGCGGUUAAUCUAUUUGAGUGAACGGUAGGGAGUGGUGAAGACUAUAGGGUACCUGAAGAGGGUAUAAUCUGCCUAAAGGGCAGCUACUCAGCUCCUAUGAAUUGCUUCUUAUUUGAAAUUGCAAUCCUGGGGGGCACCUGGGUGGUUCAGUCAGUUAAGCGCCGACUCUUGAUUUUGGUUCAGGUAAUGAUCUCACAAUCGUGGGAUAGAGCCCCACAUUGGGCUCUGCUAUGAGGGUGGAGACUGCUUGGUCUCUCUCCUUCUCUCUCUCUGCCCUUUCCCCUCUUAUCUUCUCUCUUUCUAUGUCUAAAUAAAUAAAUAAACACUAAAAAAAAAAAGAAAAUGCAAUCCUGGCAUUGUCAUUUUUUUUAAUUGUUGAGAGAAUCUGAAAAUCUGGAUUUUUCUUUGAAACGUCCCAAUUUUUAAAGAUUUAUAAUGAAUUCAAUUUAUAAAAAAUAAAACACGAGUGGACCAAAUCAAAAGUUGAAUGCCAGAGUUUACCUAUAAGCUUCCAGUGUGCAAUUCUGGCAUAAAAAGUAGUAAAUUUCUGCUAAAUAUAAUGAUUUCUUGUUUCAUCUUAUGUUAUUGUGGUUAAUAUUUACCUCUGUUUCUUUGUACUGCAUAGGUAUCACAACUAAUGAUCUCUUAAGGCCACUCCUGGAUUGUGAUAAUAAGAUCACAUUAUCUGAAUAUAUCCUAAUCUGCUUAUCUUCCCAUCUGCUUUAAUUUAAGACAUUAAAAAGUAAUUGUGAUAUAAAGUUUAAAAGACAGAAGGAAUAUAGAACACAUUUUUUUUACUGUCAUUUAAAUUGAUACCAAGACACUAUUUCCUCUAUAGAAAUUUUCUAUGAUUUCUUAUUUUUCAUUUUGUUUAGAAACAUGCUUGUUGAAUUAGCAACACAGUCCAUCUAGAUUUUAAAUUCUAAUCAGAUGAAUAUGCAGAAAUUCCUAUCCAGGCUCACCACCAUUUAUUUGACUCUGGGAAAUUAUUUAAACUUUUGAAAGCUAUUUUUUUUCCAUCAGUAAAAUAUGGAAGUUGGGAAUUUAAGUAAGUAAUAUUCCUUUUGACUGUAAGAUAUUGUGAGUCUUCAUUUAUGGCAGUAGCACACAAGUUACAUUUUGGGAAGAGUUUAUAGUACUGUCUUUGUAACAUUAUUCUCUAAUUCAAGUAUGUUACCCUUUAAAUAACUUGUAAGGGAGUUGAUCCGUUAAUCCACCUAAACUCUUAAACAUUUUCAGAGUCCCAAUUUGAAUAACAUUUUGAGGGUAAUGAGUUCGAUGUGUUCUGUAACCAGUAGACAAUGAAGUACUUCAUUUAUUUGUUCCCAAAUAUAGAUUUUAAAAAUGAACCACAAACAUAAAAAUAUUUACAUAACUUGUCCUCAUAGGUGGGACUAUGAGACUCAUUCAUAAUUUCAUUGCAUAAUUAAACCUGUAAAAGUAUAAUGAAAUGGAUGUAGUGAUAUUGCUGUUAUUCACUACAGUGAUGGAAAAAACAGCAGCAACAGCAUCUCACCAGCAUAGUAUCAUUUAUCAAAAGAUGACUUAUAUUUUUUCAAGACAACAGGUUCCUCAAGCACACUCCAAAGGCAUUCUGAAUUUUCUUUUUGAUAUGUUUGUAUCUAUUUUCAGGCUCUUGACUAAUUAUGCCAAAUUCUAAAUAUCAAUCUUCUGCGUGAAUAGAACAGAUAUACAGUAAGUAGAAUAGCAGUUUCUUAUUGAAUGUGUAUACAGAAUUCAAUGACUAACAAAUAUGACCUAACUCUUUAGGGAAAGAGAAUAAAAUCAACAUGUGUCCAAACACUGAGGCUUGCUGUUCACAGUGCAUUAAAAUAACAUGGAUGGUCUUCAUCAGAUAUGGAGUUCUCACCAGCUUGAGAUUUUUCUUAUGUAGAGAUUUUGAUGCCCUCUACUUUACAUUCUAGGUGUUUAAUAACCAUUUGUAUAAGAGAGAAUUUUUAAGGGAACACUGCACCAAAUUGGUUUAUUUUGAAGUUGGAAUAUUUAAAAAAAUUAUCCUCUUCUGGAGAUACUUUUUGCUGUAUUCAGGAUUAGGAAACUUUUAGAGCUCCUGGAAGCAAUAGGGGUGAAAGUUUUUGCAUUUAUUAAAUCUAAGUUAAAAGCUGUCACACUUGAUUCCUUAGCUGGCAGUUCUAAACUAGAGCAUUUAUGUUUGUUAAAAAUUGAUUUUUACCAUGGCUAAAAAGUUGAUUUAUUUUUGUUUUUUUUUUCCUCAACCAUUCUUAUGAAAAGGAAUGAAUAUGAAGUGUUUUUGUGAAAUUCAUAUUGUGCAUCCGCUUGAUUUUUUUGGCAGCUGAGAUUUAUCUGGUUAUUUGAAUAUGACCUUAUGAUCCCAUAUAACCAUGAUCUGAGGUUCUUAAGUGUCUUCCAGUUGAGGUAGGAAAUACGUCAGAACUCAUUAAGAGGUUACCUGCAUACUAUAUUGAUUUUUAUAAAUUGCUCCUUAAAUUAUAGUGGGCAUGAUGACACACAUAAAAUCACUGAGGUCAGGUAAUAUUUGGAUGAAAUUGAUGCAUUUUGCUAGUAGUUAUAGACACAGCUAUUCUCUGGUACUGUGUCACGAAUAAUUGUACUUCGGUAAAUUAUUUAAAAUAAACAUUUUUAUCUUCAUUCUCAGUGAAGGUUCAUGUUAAGCAAAUUGUGCUCAUUGUUAUGUUACAGCUGUCAGCCUUGAUGCCUAACAAACUAUGAUCAUUCCCAGGCCAAUCUUACCUGUCUACAGCCAUUGCUGAAGAAUUUGACCUAUGCAGAUAUUGGAACUCUGUCCGCCCCCUGAUUCGACUGAUCGGGAAAUAGGGAAAUAAUUAGUGGUUAAGAGGGGAGCAGAAGCUGAAAGAUGUCAUGAGGGAAUUAGAACCCUGAGUGAUGAUCAUAAAUUGAAGUUCUGAGGAGACAGAAUUGUGAGUAAUCAGUGGUUACAAAGAGGAGAAAGGAUUAUAGAUCUGUCUCUAGGUAUAUGAAUAACACUAAUGGAGCAUGUAGUUGGCAAAUAACUGAGUUAAGGUAAUGCCAGAAGACUCGUGCAAAGAUUCUACCAUGUUACAAGCAUUUUAUCCUUCUGAGCACCAGAUAGUCUGGGUUUUUGUAGCUGUACAUCUUUCCAGUACACUUCUUGUUAUAUGAGAUAACUCAACUUUGUUUCUAUUUCUUGACGUACAGUGAGAAUUAAUCCAUUCUUUUUUCUAGCAGUGGAACCAGUUCUUUACAUGAAUUUUUUUUUUAGCUCACUAAUAUCUAUCUAUUUAUUUAUUUAUUUAUCUAUCUAUCUAUCUAUUUAUUUAUUUAUUUAUUUAUUAUUUUUUAAACUUAUUGUCAAGUUAGCUAACAUACAGUGUAGUCCUGACUUCAAGAUUCCCAUGAUUCAUCACUUCCAUACGGCAUCCUUUGCUCAUCCAAUAUUUUAAAGCAGAUGAACGCUUGCACACUUGAAGCAAUGGUGGGGAGUUAAUGUGUCUCUCACACUUUUCCCUUAAUGUGUCUCUCACCCAUUUCUUAUUUUCUCCUGCUGAGACAAUUCUGUAGACCCUAGUCCCCUCCUCCUGUAAUUUAAAACCCACUAAUCUGACCUGAAGAUACGGGUAAACCCAUAAACAGGUAAUGAAAGGAACAGUGGGACCCAGAGGAGGCAUGUAUUUUUCCUGGUGGGUUUGGAUCAUUAUUUCAUUGUUAUUCCAAUCAUUAUUCUUUGGAUAUGGGACCCUUUCACUAACUACCCUCAUUCCUCCCAUUAUCUCACAAAAUACCACAAAAUUAUGUUCAACUGUGAGCUUAACGUUUCUAGCCUAAACCACUUCCCUGAGCUCUGAACUUCUUUAUCUAGUUGCCUAACAAUCAUGCUCUUUGUGUGGCUUAUAGAAGUCUCAUAAAAUAGUGGGAAGAAAGAAGUCAUUACACAAAGAAAUGUGUACUUAUACUGAACUUAAGAGAAACUGUGUUAUAGUAGCCAGUAACGUAAACAUGUUGGACCUGGUAAUUUGACUAAAGCAAAACAUCAUCAGACAUUAUGUUAAAUUAAUAUUAAUUUUAAUUUAUUGCUUUUAUAUCUUUGAUCAUAUUUAAUUCAUUUUGUGAUUAUAUGUUUAUGUAAAGAGUUUAUAGUUUCAAAUAUUUUAAUUACUGUAAACACAAUUGAAAUUAUUACUGGUAAGGUACAAUGCUUUCUUUUUCUAUAAAAUAAAUCAUCUGUGAGAACCACUAACUGACACCAUGCUGCAUGCUAUUAACAUUAUUUAUGUAGCUCACAGCGUGGUCUUUUAUCUGUAAGCACGCCAAUAGCAAAACUUUUUUUUUUUUAAUUAGACAGUUUAAAUUUUUUUUUAAACCUUUACUUAUUUUUGAGAGAGAGAGAGAGGGAGACAGAGUGCAAGCAGGGGAGGAACAGAGAGAGAGAGGGAGACACAGAAUCCAAAGCAGGCUCCAGGCUCCAAGCUGUCAGCACAGAGCCAGAUGUGGGGCUUGAACUCAAGAACUGCAAGAUCAUGAUCUGAGCCAAAGUCGGAUGCCCAACUGACUGAGCCACCCAGGUGCCUCUUAAUCAGACAGGUUUAGAAUGGAAAGUGUCUAUUUUUGCUGAAUAAAACAGGAUACACUGAUGAGGCCUUUUUUUUAUGUGUCAAAGUAGAAAAGCACUAUUUGAAAUCAAAUAAAGUAUACAAAGGUAUACUUUACGUCCACUUUAGUUUUGACCCUUACCAUGUCUUUGGAGAUAAAGGUUAUAUGUAGAGUGUUUGUUGGGAGUCACUUACUAAUAUGAGUAAGAAGGUAAUAGUUUCAUUUUUGAGGUAUCUUCAGAUGUCACAGCUUCAAAAUAUGUGAAUUUGCCAAAAAUACUUGGUUUACUUGCAGACAGAUUUCCUUUUAGGAAAACAUGCUUUUGUUGAUACCAAGAGACAUAUGAGUUUGCAUUUCGUUCCAUAUUCCCCUCUUUAAUUGUGAUGUGGCAAAAGGAUAGAGAUAAUGUGUAAUUGGAGGAAGCUAAAGUGAAGUAGAGAGGAACCAAGAAUAUUAUUUUAAAAAAUAUAAUUUCAUUGAUACUGGCAACAAAAAAUAAAACUUCCUCUUGCCACUAGCAUUGUUUUUAUCACCAGCAAUAUUAGUAAAAUAAUCUUCCAAAUUAAACUCAAAAGAAGUGUCUCUGCUUUUGCAUUUUAUGUAAUUGUGGAGAGGUUGUUUAUAGACAAAUAAGACUUUUUAAGCAGUGUCUAUGUGUAAGAAACUGUGAACGGUAUUUCUUACAUAAUUUUAUGCUCACAAAAGUCUUCCAGGUCUGUCACUACCCUUGUGCAGACUGUGAAACAGAAGUGCCAAGUAGUUAAGUAAUAUACUCUGGUUCAGAUAAUAUAUAGCAGAUGUAGGUUUCAAACUCAGAGUUGUCUGGCUCCCAUAUUCAUGAUGUUGCCAUUAUAUCUCUUUAAUGAAAAUGAGAAAGAUGAAUAUGGAAUACUGUGUAUUUAGUAAAACAUAAGUCCUGUGUUCUUGGAAAACUAGUUCUAAAGAUAAUUCCUGUAUUCUCUAUUAAUAUCUCUAUUAAUAUUUGGAGCACUGUCUAUAUUUUAAACCUUCCAGGAUAGAUAGUUUAAAGAAAGCAAAACACUUUUAUAUUUGUAAUUUUUAGAACAUCAAAAAUAAAACAAAUGGUUGAAUUAUUUUUUAGUUGCACUCUGUAGAAUAUAUACUAAAAAAGUUGUGGUGACUGAAAUACCUGUCGUUGUUAGAUGGUUGUCUUUCAGGAUCUAUAAUUACAUGUUUAAUGUUCUUAAAAUAUGUAGACUAGUAUCCUAGUUGCUUGUUGUUUCUAACAUUAUUAGUAUUAAUAAUACUACAAGUUUCCAAAAUUGGAGACUUGACUGGAUCAGUAAAUAAGUUUGAGGAUUACUGGACUCUUUCUCCAGCCUAAAGCAUUUGAUCCCAUUUAGGUCAUGGUUAUCAAUACCAGAAGGCGAUUACAAUAUUCAUUUUUGGGACCCCUGUGAACUUAGCAAUUAUGAAGAAAAAUUGAUGGCAUGUGUUUCUUAAAUGAUUAAGGAGGAUUUGGAGAACACAAUAGUUCAUGCCACAGCCCUUUACCACUGGCUUCUUAGAAAUCUAGAGUUAAAUUUAUAGUACACAUUUGUUAUAAUUAAGCUCCAUUCUUCGAAAAAAAUGCUUUCUCAUCUUUAAAAGAUUUUUGUUUCUCUCCUGAAAUCUAUUAAAAAUUUUUUAAUGUUGAUUCAUUUUGAGAGAGAGAGAGAGAGAGAGAGAGAGAGAGAGAGCGCGCGAGCGUGCACAUGCAAGUGAGAAGGGGCUGAGAGAGGGAGGGAGAGAGAGAAAAUCACAAGCAGGCUCUUCACUGUCAGCGGGUAGCCUGACAUGAGGCUCGAUUUCAUGAGCUGUGAGAUCAUGACCUGAGCUAAGAUCAAGUGUUGGAUGCUUAAUCAAUUGGCCACCCAGGCUCAGGCGCCCCUGAGAAUCUAAUUUUAUUGUUCUGUUCUCAUAGGUACAUUUUUUUGGUAAUAUGCUUAUAAUUUAGAUUGUGUCCAAUUCUUUUUAGAAAGAACAAAUAUUCUCCUUCCACAGAAUAAUAUAGUAUUACCUUGUCAAAUAAAAAUAAAGGAUAAUUUCAUUGUUGAGUCUAUAAGGCCAAGGAAAAUUAUGACUAGAGACAUAAUUUAUUGAGUGUAUUAGUGAAAUUUAUCAUUGUCUUACCAUACUUCCUGUGUAACAGUACUACCUUUCACAAAGUUGCCUAAAAGGGGUUGCCUUUGUAAACUUUCUUUGGAAUAUUACUGGCUAACCGCUUGAAAAUUGUGAAAUGGCGAACCACAAACUGUGUGCAUGUUGAAAAGUUGAUCUUCACAACCAAGAGGAAAUAGUGGCUUUUGACUUAGUUAUUCAUUCCACACAGCAGUAGACUGGUGGUUCUUGUAUAACACCAAAAAUUCUGAGGCGAGAUUUGCUGUAAUCACACAAACCAACAGGUUAAAACCUCAGAAAUGACCUUUUAAAGGGCACGCAUUCAAUUUUGACAAAAAUAAUCAACAGCAGGCUUGAGGGUAAAAAAUAAAAAAUUUAAACCCUACAAUUAGGUAGCUUAUUUAAAAACACAGGAUGAGAGGCACAGAUGGUUCAUAUUAAUAAAAGCAAACAAACAAAAGACUAAACACAGGAAUAUAAAAUUAGCAAUAGCCAGAGAUGAACUACUUUAACAGACUGUUUCUAAAAAUCUAUAUCUGUUCAUGGAUGAGUAUUGAUUGAGAACUGGAAGUAAAACAGAAGUCUUUGCUUUAAAGAAGUU